rnacentral:rRNA from 1 species
AGGACGAACGCUGGCGGCGUGCUUAACACAUGCAAGUCGAGCGGAAAGGCCUUUCGGGGUACUCGAGCGGCGAACGGGUGAGUAACACGUGAGUAAUGUGCCCAUCGCUUCAGGAUAGCCAUCGGAAACGGUGAUUAAAUACUGGAUAUGACAUUCCUUCGCAUGUUGGGGUGUGGAAAGUUUUUUCGGCGGUGGAUGUGCUCGCGGCCUAUCAGCGUUGUUGGUGGGGUAAUGGCCUUACCGAAGGCUUUGACGGGUA